rnacentral:ncRNA from 1 species
CAACCUGAGCUCAGUCGUGAUUACCCGCCGAACUUAAGCAUAUCAUUCAGCGGAGGAAAAGAAACUAACUAGGAUUCCCCAAGUAACUGGCGAAUGAAAGGGGAAGAGCCCAGCGCUGAAUCUCUCGGUCUUAGGCCGCUGAGAACUGUAGCGUAUAGGUGUGACUGUCCUGCUAUAUUGCAUUUCCGAAGUCUCUUUGAUAGGGGCCAACAUCCAGAGAGGGUGCGAGACCUGUACGGAAAGUAGUAUAGUUGGUAUGGUUACUCCUUGGAGUCGGGUUGCUUGAAAGUGCAGCCUAAAGUUGGUGAUAAACUUCAUCUAAGGCUAAAUAUCGACGCGAAAUCGAUAGCAAACAAGUACCGUGAGGGAAAGUUGCAAAGAACUUUGAAGAGAGAGUUCAAGAGAACGUGAAAUCGCUGAAGUGGAACCGGAGAGAGUUAACAUAACUUGGUAGCUAUAUCCUCUAAAGUCGCUUAACUGUGGCUCUGGGGGGUGGACGCUACCUGUUGUUGCACUGACUGCGUUGAUUGUGCUUUCCGAACAGUAUAGUGUUGCCCACUUUGUGGUGUCUUGCUUUCUGGGAGGUUUGUCAUAAUUAACGUAAAGCCAAUUCCCUUUGGAGUCAGUGUGAAAGUUAACCACCUUUCCGACCCGUCUUGAAACACGGACCGAGGAGUGUAAUUUAUACGCGAGUCAAGGGGUGGUGAAAACCCUA